rnacentral:rRNA from 1 species
AUGAAUCUCAGGGGGGAGGAGGAAGACGUGGUACUAGAGGAAGAUCUGGAAGAGCUAGAGAAGGAUGCUGAAUUCAUGGCGUUGGCUAGGGUCCAUACAAACAAAAAGUUCAGUCAUGGUUCCUUCUACGACAAUAUGAGAUCGGCGUGGAACCUGGAGCAAGAAGUGGAGUUUAGAGCAAUUGAGGAUAACCUGUUUGCGGUACAGAUGAGUUGCUUGGGAGAUUGGGAGAGGGUGAUGAACGAAGGUCCGUGGAUAUUCAGAAACUGCCUGGUACUGCUGGUCCCAUAUGAUGGGUGGCCGGAGGUGAAUGAGAUUGAACUCAAUACUUACCAGGUCUGGAUGAGGGUGAUGGGGCUGAAGGAGAAGAUGAGAACUACUAGUAUUGCUAGGCAAUUAGCGAAAAAGGCAGGGGAAGUGGUGCGUGUGGAGGAGCGGUCAGUCAAGGGCCAAGAGGAGGGAUUCGAGUGA